AGAGUUUGAUCCUGGCUCAGGACCAACGCGGGCGGCGUGCUUAACACAUGCGAGUGGAGCGACCACCCCUUCGGGGGGCAAAGCCGCGAACGGGUGAGUAACACGUGGGUAACCUGCCCCGAUGACUGGGACAACCCGGGGAAACCCGGGCUAAUACCGGAUAUGGUGUUCACACUCAAGUGUGAUUAUCAAAGGUAGCUUCGGCUUCCGCAUCGGGAGGGGCCCGCGGCCCAUUAGCCUGGUGGGGGGGUAACGGCCUACCAAGGCAACGAUGGGUAGCUGGUCUGAGAGGACGAUCAGCCACGCUGGGACUGAGACACGGCCCACACUCCUACGGGAGGCAGCAGUGGGGAAUCUUGCGCAAUGCGCGAAAGCGUGACGCACCAACGCCGCGUGAGGGAAGACGGCCUUCGGGUUGUAAACCUCUUUCAGGGGGGACGAAGGCCGGCCGGUGAAUAGCCGAGUCGGUUGACGGUACCUUAAAAAGAAGCUCCGGCUAACUACGUGCCAGCAGCCGCGGUAAUACGUAGGGAGCAAGCGUUGUCCGGAAUCAUUGGGCGUAAAGCGCGCGUAGGCCGCCCAAUAAGUCCGUUGUAAAAAGUCAAAGGCUUAAUCUUUUGAAUUGCCGAUGGAUACUGUCGGGC
rnacentral:rRNA from 1 species